rnacentral:rRNA from 1 species
AUCAGAGCCAUAUCACCCUACAGCUCUCAUCUGAUUUUCCACUGAAGCUAAAGCAGGGUUGAGCCUGGCCAGAACCUGGAUGGGAGACCUCCUGGGGAAUACUAAGUUUGCUGCUGGAA